GCCAGGUGCGGUGGUGCAUACCUGUAAUCCCAGCAGCUCAGGGAGGCUGAGACAGGAGGAUCACAAGUUCAAAGCCAGCCUCAGUAAAACCGAGGUGCUAAGAAAGUCAGUGAGACCCUGCCUCUA
rnacentral:sRNA from 1 species